ensembl:lncRNA
AUCAGAACUUCGCUUGUUGAGCAAUGGAGGAUACCAUACUCUUUUUUGUGAUCUGCUUUCACGUACAUGAACAAGUUCACAGUCAGUCAUCAAACCAGUCCUCCCAGGGGGUAACAUCUGUGUUUGAGGUAUCGCUCCUCGCUCUGACUGUGGCCAACGUCCUACUCUGCAUCACCACAACCACAGUAGUGUGUCUCCUGCACAGACAUGUCAGAAAGAUUUGGAUUAAACUUUCACAAAAAGAUACUCUCCUUGAAGACCAUAUUACAGAAAAUGUGUCUGUUGCAUCUGACUCUUGGAAGCCAGAGGACAACAGCCAAACACUAACAGCAUCUUCCUCUGUUGAGUUCCCUGCUGGUGAGAAACAGGGAUCCUUCCGGUUGUCAGUGAUAUCCCCCAGCUCCCAGGCCUCAACGCCCAGACUGUUCACGCGGUGCUCUCCACCUCUUUGCGAAAACACGAUGAUCCAAAAAGCCAGACAAAGCUCUGGCCCUGAGAGAUCUUCCAAAAAGCACCAGUUCACUGUGGUUGACCUGACCCUUGAUGAGGAUGACAGUGGUUACAUGGAUAUGAGAUCCUGCUAUCUUAGUGGUCCGGUCCUCAGCACAGCCAACGAAAGCAUCUACGACAUCCCCCGUUACGCCUCGGUCGGCCACCUCUACUCGAUGCGAGGAACGCAGAGCCAGGAGUUCCUCAAACGACCCAAGCACUCCAGAAACCACUCUGACCCCAGCAGCUACCCACGGUCCUUAGCUAAACCCAGCCUUGGAGGAGAAGCCACUUAUGCAGCCAGUGUCCCCCGAGGGGUGGACACUGAGCAGAGCUCAACCAGGAGUCUCCAGGCUGAGGGGCCUGAACGUACAUUUGUAGAGGAAACCAGCAAACGUGAAGCACACGACACCACCAGCCUGAGAGCCACCAGAGGAGCAGCUUCUCCAAAACAGAAAUCCAAAUCUUCGGUAAGGGGUCAGAAACAACCCAUUGACAUUUAAUUAAGUCCAAGAGUGGAGCUGCUUGACAGCUGUAAGGUCUUCAGCGUUAACAUACGAGUGUUUCGCUACUCAAUAUUUGGGAUCAUACCACAACUGCAUUUUUUCCAAAAUGCCACAUUAAUCCGCACUUCAUUAAUAUUAUGAGUAAAAAGUACAACACAUGAGCAGUCAAAUACACAGUGAAGUUGUAUUUUUAAUUCUGUCUAGCUGCUUACUGUACAUUUUUUUUUAAUUACCAUAGUGCUACUAUAUCUUUUCGCUUGGAUUGUCCAACCCGUUACACCUCAUACACAAUCUACAUGUGUGUGACUAGUGUGUAACACUUUACAUGGAACUUCUUUCUUUCCCAUUCUUGUUUGCUUCUUUGUUUUUUUUGGCUUCUGUAAUCGUGCAGCCGCCGCAUACUAACAUUAAAAUUGGAGGAAAAAAUAAUGUCCUCUUUCGCUUAUGAUCCAUUUCAUGGCUGCUUGAUUCUUGAAGUACCUUGUGUGUGAAUUUGAAUUUAGGGAUAAAACAAGGCAUGAAGAGGAAGCGGUUUGUUCUGCUUUUAACAGCCAUGGCAACGCACGUGACCUGUUCCAGUAACAGAGUCACCCAGAAUCCUACUGUAUAUAAUGCACUUGGGUAACUGAGUCAAAUCUGUUUCAGAGAAUGUUGGUCAUGGAAUUUAAAGCAGCCUAUUUUUUUCUGAACCAGAAUCCUGUUUUGAAUGAUCUCUUUCUCCUGGAAACAAAGAGGAGUCGAGAGCAUUGAGCAAAGUACAGCGAAAUCGCUGUACCAGAUGUGUUUUAUACUUUGAUUUUAUGAGCGUUCCCGAGAAAACAGUUAUGACCUCGUUAAUUAUGAUCCGUAAGGCUGUAAUAUACUUUGAUUAUAAAAUUUAAUGGUACAGUAUCUGCUUUGUGUGAGAUAUGUCAAACUGAGAUAUAUCGACAGCAUGGAUCCUGUCCUGGCAGGGAGGGACAGCAGGCAGCGCUGUUGACUCAGCUCUGGUGUUGCGGGUUCUAAUCCAACCCCUGCUCUUUGUUCUCCUUGUUCUUCUGAGACAAAGUUGAUUUCAUCACCAACAGGCAAUUCCCCAUCCACGCAAAGCCUCGUUCCCUCUGCUUCCUGUCUCUUCCCUCCUCGCCUCCCUUCUUUCUGCAGCUGGUGGCUCUCGAACUGCAUCAGGUGUAACGCUUUGGUUAAAGACCACAAGAUGGUCAAGGAAUCUGUUCCUUGAUACCCACAGGACCUGAUCACUCCCUACAGCCCAGCAAGGGUGCUGAGCUCCUCCACCUCUGGACAGGUGGUGGUUCCACUCACAAGAGCCCAAAAUCAAAAGUGCAUAAUUUCUCAGUUUUGGCUCCAGUGUGGUGCAAUGAGCUCCCUCUUGGGGAAGGAUCUCAAACCCAUCUCUUUCAGAGCCACUUCUCUCCUGAUCUUCUAACUGCUCCAUAAACUCACAUCACACCAUCACCUCUGUGUUUCCUAUCGCUUCUAUGUACAGCUACUCUGUACUGUGGUAUUGGACACGUUGUACUGCGGCACAACAAUCAGCUGUCUGCGCCUACAACUUUUGUCUCCGAUGAGAUGUACUGUAUCUUUGUCCACCCCGAGCUCUACGCCUCUUUGGAAAGAAGCAUCCGCUAAAUGAAUAAAUGUAAAUGUGGCAGUAAUUUUAAAAAAUGU